GGGAGUGUAGCUCAAAUGGUAGAGCAUUUGCAUUAAGUGCAGGGCCCUGAGUUCAAACCCUAGUACUGCCA
rnacentral:tRNA from 1 species